UACGAAGGGGGCUAGCGUUGCUCGGAAUCAUUGGGCGUAAAGCGCACGUAGGCGGCCUGUUAAGUCGGGUGUGAAAUCCCUCGGCUCAACCGAGGAAGUGCAUUCGAAACUGGCAGGCUUGAAUGUGGAAGAGGGUCGUGGAAUUCCCGGUGUAGAGGUGAAAUUCGUAGAUAUCGGGAGGAACACCAGUGGCGAAGGCGGCGACCUGGGCCAACAUUGACGCUGAGGUGCGAAAGCGUGGGGAGCAAACAGG
rnacentral:rRNA from 1 species